rnacentral:rRNA from 1 species
GAUGAACGCUAGCGGCAGGCCUAACACAUGCAAGUCGAGGGGUAACUAGAGUGAUAGCAAUAUUACUUUGGCUAGACCGGCGCACGGGUGCGUAACACGUAUGCAACCUACCUUAUACUGGGGAAUAACUUCGAGAAAUCGGCGCUAAUACCCCAUAACAUUGCGAAGAGGCAUCUCUUUGCAAUUAAAGCUCCGGCGGUAUAAGAUGGGCAUGCGUCCAAUUAGCUAGUUGGUGAGGUAACGGCUCACCAAGGCUACGAUUGGUAGGGGUUCUGAGAGGAUGAGCCCCCACACUGGUACUGAGACACGGACCAGACUCCUACGGGAGGCAGCAGUGAGGAAUAUUGCGCAAUGGACGAAAGUCUGACGCAGCCAUGCCGCGUGCAGGAUGACGGCCCUAUGGGUUGUAAACUGCUUUUGUACGGGAAUAAACCCUUCUACGUGUAGGAGGCUGAAGGUACCGUAAGAAUAAGCACCGGCUAACUCCGUGCCAGCAGCAGCCGCGG